rnacentral:rRNA from 1 species
GCCCGCUGCUCGACGACCACGGCCCCCUCCCCGGGGGUACCCCCCAACCCUUGCGGACUAUACCUUUGUUGCUUUGGCGGGCCGCAUCGCGCCACCGGCGUACGCUGGUGAGUGCCCGCCAGAGGCCCCAACUCUUGAUUUUAUAGCGUCUGAGUACUAUAUAAUAGUUAAAACUUUCAACAACGGAUCUCUUGGUUCUGGCAUCGAUGAAGAACGCAGCGAAAUGCGAUAAGUAAUGUGAAUUGCAGAAUUCAGUGAAUCAUCGAAUCUUUGAACGCACAUUGCGCCCCGUGGCAUUCCGCGGGGCAUGCCUGUUCGAGCGUCAUUAUGACCAAAUCACGCCGGGCGUGGUCUUGGGGCUGGCAGCUCUGCCGCCCUCAAACGCAGUGGCAGCGCCGGGUGGCUCUUAGCGUAGUAAUACUCCUCGCUAUAGGGUCCGCCGGUCGCCCGCCAGCAACCCCCAAUCUUUCUAGGUUGACCU